rnacentral:rRNA from 1 species
CAGUAGGGCCUAAAUACCCUAAAAGCACCAGAACCUGUCUGAACUUGGAAGCUAAGCAUGGUCAGCCCUAGUGAAAAAUCGGAUGGGAGACCACCAACAAAUACCAGGUGCUGUAGGCU